rnacentral:rRNA from 1 species
GACGAACGCUGGCGGCGUGCUUAACACAUGCAAGUCGAACGGAAAGGCCCCUUUGGGGGUACUCGAGUGGCGCACGGGUGAGUAACACGUGAGUAACCUGCCCUUGACUUCGGGAUAACUUCAGGAAACUGGGGCUAAUACCGGAUAGGAAUCCUUGCUGCAUGGUGGGGGUUGGAAAGCUUCGGCGGUUUUGGAUGGACUCGCGGCUUAUCAGCUUGUUGGUGGGGUAGUGGCUUACCAAGGCUUUGACGGGUAGCCGGCCUGAGAGGGCGACCGGCCACAGUGGGACUGAGAGACGGCCCAGACGCCUACGGGAGGCAGCAGUGGGGAAUAUUGCACAAUGGGCGGAAGCCGGAUGCAGCAACGCCGCGUGCGGGAUGACGGCCUUCGGGUUGUAAACCGCUUUCAGCAGGGGCGAAGCUUGUGGUGACGGUACCUGCAGAAGAAGCACCGGCUAACUACGUG